GCCCUCUUCUGGUGUGUGUCUGAAGACAGUGACAGUGUGCUCAUACAUAAAUUAGAAGUUUCUAGCAAUUUUGUCCCAGAGGUAGGGUCAUAGACUCAUUCUUGGCAUAGAUUUAGAAUGGGGCCUUUUACCCUUUUAUUACACAAAUACAAGGAGGCAGGCAUGUUGGUUGAAUUUAUUAAACAUGCCAGUUUGUCUUUUAAACACAUUUUGGGGGUUAUUGGCCUUAAGUAUCUUUAAUUAUGUGACUGUCUUAAGCAGAGUCAAUGAGCAUUUUAGACGUUUUCCUUGAAUACAUUCGGUUAAUACCAUUUUCCAGAAUUAUCCAUGCAGUUACCAUUGUCCCUCCUACAAUUUAGAGUUUCUCCUUCUGUUACGGAUUUCCUUUGGCUUUCCACUGUGCUUAGUAUCGUCUAACACGUGAUCAUACACUGUACAGUUCACAUAAGUGCUACCCGGUGAGCCAAGGGUCAGCGUCAUUCUCCCGUGUUUCUCAAGUGCUUACAGAGAGCUGGCUUGUAGAAGCCGCUAGUAGUGUUGAAUAAAUGGUUAACUGAUCUUUGUCUUAAAAGAACAAACACUCCUACAUUUGUGCAUAUUUUGCAGGUCAUGAUUAUUUUAAAUAUUUUAUUAUAGAAGUCAGUUUUUCCUGUCCCUAAUAUUUCGGUAUUUACAUAUUAUAUUUCAAAUAUCAUCAAAUGGCCUCUUCACCGACUUUGCUGAGGACUUUUACUUUAAAACCCACAAAAAUUUAAGGUGAUUUGAAUAGCUUUGGACAGUUUUUUUUUUGGUGGCAUUUUGAUCUGUAGGUUUUGUUUUAUCUUCCUAACAAUGUUUUAACAGUGAGUUUUCUUUUGUCUUCGUAAUGUUUAAGAAAUGUUCCUUCAUCCCAUCUGUAUCUCUCUCAGUUCUGUGCUGCCGUGGGAGUUGGGUCAGAACAUUUAUUGGAGACCUCAGGGGUGUACUAGUGCCCUGCCUCGUGUGGACUGCUGACCCUUGGAGGGCAGGGAUAAAGGAGAACGUGGGAGGACUGAGGACAGGUGAGUGAGUCUGAAGACACUGACUUAUGGCUCCCAAGAGCCUUCUAGUCCUGCUGAACUUCUUAGCACACAAUUUCAAACUUGUUCUGAGUGACUUAACCUUGCUUAUCCAUUGUCAUGGUGGAAACCUGUGUAGCCUCCAAAAGCCUGGUGGCAGGGCUUUGGCAGGAGAUGCCAAGUGUUCUAAUCACCAGUGCGAAUUGAAUGAAACAUGGGGACUGAAUGGUUGAAUGGUUAUCCCCUCGGAAUUUAACAGAAAUACCUUUCUGCCUUUAUAAAUGUAGGUGCGUCCUAGGUUCAUGUUUUUGCCUGAUUCUUGAAAGGUGCCUGCUGACUACUGGAACAGGCCUGACUGGGCUGUGUGUGCGUUUUCUUUUAACAGAAUAACUGGUUCUCCGUUGAGAGUUCAUCUUUGUCUAGCUCAGGGAGAGUGGAGUUCUAGGUUCAGAGGUGAGAGAGAAAUCUGGAGAUCUUUUGGGUAUCUGUUUUAGCAUCUGAUGUGAGAGGUCUGGUCAGGAUCCAGAAGAUAGGCUUGUUCUAGGGAGCCCAGGGUAAUGUCUUACAACAGUCCUGAAGGGACUUAUGUCUGCCUGAAUGGAACUGAGGUGAUGGAAGUUGAGAAGGCUUGAGAAAUUUCUACAGAUGGUUAUGGGGAACUUGGAGAAUUGAAGAAAACCAGUGGUUUAGAGUAAGGCCAUUUGCCAGAGGCGAAGGACAUCUGUGGAGAACAUGAGAAUUCCCUUAGAGAUCUCUGAAAGUAGAGGGGUUGGGUAGCCUUGUCACAACUUGCAGAUGGGUACUCAGAAUGCUUGCCAUAUGAAGGUAGCGAGACCUGACACUUUUGCCUCGAAAGCUGGUGACAAAAUGUUUAUGCCACCAGUAGCUGUGGUCUCCCUCUGCCUUACACUUCCAUAGGUAGCCCAUUUUCAAGACACAAAUAGAUGUCCAGAGAAGUACAUGGGUUUUCUUUCUCUUUCAUAGAACUUGGCCUUUGCUGUCCUGCCAGGCACUUAAGACAUUUCCCAUAGGGGAUGAGAACUUAGCUUCUCUAGGUGUCCCUUUCAGAUUUUCUUCUUGGGGUCCUGGAAGAGAAUGAGAGAGCCCUGUGUACCUCAGACCACAGAGGGUAAGGACUUUCUUUCCCAGGGCAGUGGGAUGACACUAGAGAAUGGGCUAGCAUGGGCUAGCCAUGGCUAUUUUAGGACAGUCAAGACUGCUUAUUAGCUUGGCCCUAUUUCUCUGGAUGAAGAAGUUGAGAAUUUGCCCUUUCUGUUCUAUGGGAACAACUGAAACACCCUGAACUUUGGAAACACUGACCUCCUCAGGUGAUUCUGGGUGGAUUUAGAGAACUUUUCUCAGCAGGACUUGAAACUUACUCUCCUUCAGAGUACUGUUGAGUCCUGGCAAAGUAGGUGGCCUGGUGGGCACAAAAACAGAGGGUCCCGAGUGCUCGUGAAACUGGAAAUGGAAUCUAGGGGAACACACCAUAUUAUGGGAGUCAGUCGAUAGACAAGACUUAACUCCAUUACUUUUCCCAAAAUGUACCAUACCGAAUGUGAAAUGACCAUGACGAUGUGGACUAUCUUCAUGAAAGUUUGUCUCCUCUUUCUGGGGCAUACUUCUGUGUGAGUCUCACUCCAAAGAGCUUUCAUUAUAACCGAUAAUGGAGAGGCGCUUUGACACCAGGAUGAGGUAUUUCUGUAUCUGAACAGCUUCCUUAAUCUUUUCAUUCUUGUAGGUAGGAUGUGAGAAUCAUCCUAGCAGGAUGUUAUAAAGCACUGAGGAUAUGUUAGCUUAACUAACUUCUCUCAUGAAUAAAAUCAGCUAAGGAAUGCUUAACCGACUUAGUUUCCACAAGCCACGCACUUCACUCUGUCUGAAGACCUGUGGGUAAAUUCAUAGCCUUAAAAAGUGUGUGACGCUUGGCGUUUUGUAGUCAGGCAGGGGCCAAUGGCAUGGAAAACUGGAAGUAGCUUGUGUGGUGUUGUUGUUGCCUGACAUGGCUGUGGUGGCUGCUUGGACUGCACAGAGUCACACACCCGUCAGUGAUGGGGACAGAGCUCCAGCCUGACCUCCUGACUCAGGCUGUGACUCACACACAUGCCGUUUUGUACACUACCAGACAAGCUCCCAACUCGAGCAUUCAGGAUGUUGCUGUAGAGUGAGAUGUAGGAGGCCACACUUGCACUCAGAUGUUUAAUUCCUAAGAGACGAUGUGUGAGAGAAGCACCGGACGCCAGGCUUCGAAUGCUACCUCAUGACUGAGAAGCAUCAUUCUGGCACACCGUACUCCCCUUGGUUGUCCCACUGAGAGUUAAUGAGGCACACGUGGCUUUGGUACUCAGAAAACCUUGACACACACUGAAUAUUUUUUUUCCCUGUUUCUCUUCUUUCUAGGCCUUUGUGGCAAACAGUAGAUGUUUAAAAACAAGCUAAUGGUACAUGCUGUGUUAGCUUCUUAUGGAAAGUUAUGGAAGGGAAUGAGAGAGAAGCUCUCACACAUAACUCACUCUAGAGAGCCCCAGUCACCCCCAGGAAAUGCAAACCCUGCUUCCUGGGCUCCCCUCUUAACGCCAGGUCAUCCCAAGGGACACCUGUUUUCCUCAAACCCACUUCCCUGACAGGUUGAUGCUGGCUGAACAUUUUGCAAGACCUGGGCUAGGUCUUGUUAAUUUCAUAUUAUCCCUGCCACCUACCCCGAGUUUCAUCAUGUUUAUUUAGUGAAUACACAGUAAAAAGUCUUAAAAAUGCCCCUGAUUAAUAUAUUUUGGCAGCGAGAAAGGAGACAAAUUAACCAAGCUUUUCCAAUCUCAUCCAAAGUUAACUCGCAAACUCCAUUUUAAGGAAGGGCUUCCUGUGAAGGCUGCCUUGGAAAGCAUUGUGGGCCAAUUCCCCAACCUGUAAUAAACUAUAUGUAUAAAGAUAGCAGUGUUGUUAUACAAUUUAAUUAGUGCAUCACUCAGACAUUUGGACCAAUGCCUGGCUCUUUUCCUGCACGUUCAUUCAGCUUUUAGUCUAACUCCCGCGUGAAAUAAACAAAAAGGCUAAUUGCUUUUGGAUUUUAGCACCGGGUGAAAUACCUGGAUUCAUUAUGUGAAUCAUAUUUUAUAGGUAGAUUAAAGGUUCUAUUGGCAAAUGAAAAAUUCUACGAUGACAGCUGUAACGUUCAAAGGCAAGGCAAUGGAAAGGCCCGUGCUCCCACAGGCAGCAUAUGGACCCAUCUGACAUGCUCCUGGUUCUCAUAGCAGGAUGUUGGUGUGGGGAGUUCUGGAGCGGACCCCUUGUGAGCAUGUUAGGACCCAGCAAACCGGAAUGCCUUCUCAGCUUCCUGAAGAACAAGGCAGGUGGAUGAAGAGGGGUUGCCCCUGACAGCCCUGCUCCUGACCUUGCUCAAGGAAGACCUUCAAUACCCACCUCCAUCUGACUGAGUUCUGUUAAGGAAGAUAACACUCACAUCUUUGGCUCUCUUCACGAGUGGAGUAAGCCUUCCAUUCUUCAAAGGGAGAACUCCCAGAAGCCAGCAGUGCCCUUGACAAAACCAGCUCAAACUCAAGCUGACAAGCACUUGACUGGGACCAUCACAUCAUUCUUCAGUGACAGGGUCCUGAGCAAGAGGGGCCGGGGAUCAGAGGUAAAGAAGAUAAAACAGAGUAAUGCAUUUGAUUUUGAUGAGGCCCAAUGAAAUACACAGGAGCAAACAAGGUCUUUGGGAAAACGAACUCAGAAUAGCUACUUCCAGCUCGUAUCCAAAGGGGAUAGAAUCAAGAAGAAAAGAGUCCGUGGCAUGCUCAGAAAUUUACUGGAAAGAGUCAAGCUGAGAAAACCAUUCAACUGCAAAGACACACUACCUUACCUGGGUGAGGAAGGAUAACUUGGAGAGGAACUGAGAUCCCAAAUUACAGAGCCAGGAACCAUGGAGGAUCCAAGGGACUUCCAACGUUCAGAAGAUGGCUUUCUCAAAUCAAGAAGACCCUCACCAGAACCUGCUGGUAGCCAAUGAGAGUUUCUAGGCUCUGAAACUGUAUUGUUGUGCUCGGAAUGCUGCAGCCUCCAUCUUGAGACUCCACCCAACACCAAUACAGGCAAGAGGAGCAGAGGGUGUCCAACUCCUACACAUGGGCCGCUAAACUUCCCCCAGCCAACCAAAAAGCUGGUUUUUAGUUAAAAAUACUGUCUGCUGAUAAAAGAAAUAAGGAUGAGUGUAUCAUUCAACCCUCAUUGGAGAAGCUUCCUCCUGCAGUAGAUGGGAAUUAGCAGAGACCAACAACUGGACAUAAGUAAUGAGUGAGAGACUUGGAGGCCCUCAGUCCCACAUGGGAGGUCUUCGUCAAAUUCCUUCCCUGAAGGCUUAGGGAGCUAUGUAGAUGAGGAGACAGAAAGAUCGUAAGAGCCAGAGAUGGCGGGUGAUUCCAAGGAACAAUGUCUUCCAGACACAACAGGACUGAUCUACAUGUAAGUUCACAGAGACUGUGAAGCCCACAAAACCUGCACAAGUUCAAACAAGACAAAAUCCCAGCACCGAGAAGGGGAAAUGGACCCAGGUAGAGUCCUAGCCCUAACUAAAGAGCUAUUUGCAAGUGAUGUUUACUGGGAAAGGGAAAAUCCAUUUUCUCUCGUGGAGUGUCACUGGGCAUAUCAGUCA
rnacentral:sRNA from 1 species